GCCUGGUGCCAUUAGUAUUAAAUCAUAAUGUGGCUGCAAAAAGUUAGACACCUGCAGGAUAUUGUGCCCUUAGUUUAACUCAGCUAGACCGGUGAGCCUCGGUUAGCUACACCAUGCUAAAUUGUUUUAAAGUAUUCUAUUCUGUGAAAAGCGCCCCACUACUCUCUGCAACAGGGCCUGGUCUCCCAGUGGCAAUAACAGUUUGUACCUUUCUAAGGUUUCACUAGCCUAUUAUAAUAACCUGUAACAACGCAAGCUCCUAGCAAACCAUGUCUUAGACCCGAUCUUAGUGAUG